rnacentral:rRNA from 9 species
GGUCAAGCUACAAAGGGCUAACGGU